rnacentral:rRNA from 1 species
GUCUACGAUCAUACCACCAGUAAAAUUCCGGUUCUCGUUCGAUCACCGAAGACAAGCCUGGUCGGGCGAAGUUAGUACUUGGAUGGGUGACCGCCUGGGAAUACUUCGUGUUGUAGACU